GACGAACGCUGGCGGCGUGCUUAACACAUGCAAGUCGAACGGAAAGGCCCUGCUUUUGUGGGGUGCUCGAGUGGCGAACGGGUGAGUAACACGUGAGUAACCUGCCCUUGACUUUGGGAUAACUUCAGGAAACUGGGGCUAAUACCGGAUAGGAGCUCCUGCUGCAUGGUGGGGGUUGGAAAGUUUCGGCGGUUGGGGAUGGACUCGCGGCUUAUCAGCUUGUUGGUGGGGUAGUGGCUUACCAAGGCUUUGACGGGUAGCCGGCCUGAGAGGGUGACAGGCCACAUAGGGACUGAGAUACGGCCAAGACGCCUACGGGAGGCAGCAGUGGGGAAUAUUGCACAAUGGGCGGAAGCCUGAUGCAGCAACGCCGCGUGCGGGAUGACGGCCUUCGGGUUGUAAACCGCUUUCGCCUGUGACGAAGCGUGAGUGACGGUAAUGGGUAAAGAAGCACCGGCUAACUACGUG
rnacentral:rRNA from 1 species